GCACACAAGCACAUCUGAGCUUGUUAGCCACCAGAAAUCUUCAAGUUUCUAUCUUUCCUUGAGGAUAGCAAAAGAAGCCAUCUAUAGUCACUGACUGGCUGGAAGUUAAAAUACCUGACUGGAUUACUGUUGGGGAUCGGUGCCAACACCAUGAAUCCACUGCUCCUGGAAGCUAUUUUCUUCCCUUUUGACUGUACUGCAAUGCGGUGGUUGGUGCUGGGCCCGGGUCUUUGCACAGUGAAGUAUGUACUCUACUGGAAACACCACAGAGAGCAGCCCAGGGGGUGGUGCAGCAACCAGAGAACUGGACUCUCAAGCAUGAAGUCCUGAGUUCCAUCCUCUGCACUGUAUGUGCCAGAGUGAUGCUCUGAUUCUCUCAUUAAUAAAUAAAUCAUUCACUUAAAGUGACCCAUUUCACAACAGGGGUGCCAAUCCUCAGGCAGCAGGGGUGGGAGACAAGAACCAGAGGGCAGUGGUGCCUGCCCCUGGUUCAACCAGUUCCUAAAGAGCUUGCUAAUCCCCACAUAAAUGCUUUCUAUCCCCGGGAUUUUAGCUCAUGUGUUGCAUUUGGAGAGUGACCUAAAAAAAUCAAAUUGGGAGAGGGAAUUUACUCAGCAAAACCUCUUUAAAAAAAAUAAAUAAAUAAAAGGAUGGGGCUUGCUGGGG